GAUUGGUUUUCUACUGAAGUAAAUAUCAACUAUUUCGUCACCCACGGACAAUUCGAAUUCCAGCAUUGAUGUGAAGAGGGAAUGCAUCUUAAAAGCACUUUGUGUCUACUUUAAUGAAAACCCAAACGACAUGAUCAGAGAAUAUGUGGACGUUGAUCUUGCAACUGGACAAACCAUCGAGCAGAUGACCAUGGGAGUUUAUGCUGUCAGGCACGAAGGAGCAGACUCUACGGAGGCACCGGAAGAUGUGGGAAGGAUGCACUGUGCUGGAGGCUCUGAGUGAUGUGGCCAAAGGAUGUGCCCUCCUCCUAGGCUUAAUCUACAGUCUAAACCCGCAAUACCCAAAGGACCUAAAACACACCUUUGAAUUUUUUCAAAAAGUGUUGAUGGAGUUGGAUGGAAACAAGCUAUCAGCAAAAGUGCAAAUCCUCAAAAACAAAAUGCUUGAGUAAAGCAGCCCUCACUGAACUAGAGGAGACUGAAAUCUUUCCACAAAUUCUUCCGAGCCUUCUUUGUUUUUUUUAUCAGAAGGGACAGAAGAUGAACGACAACAUGUUCAAUUGAACUGUCACAAGAACUCUUGUGAGGCCUUCCUCUCUAUUCUUCGAUAUCUUUGGAACUUCACAGUUAAAAACUGCAUCUUAUUUUUGAUUUAAAUGGAAUUUCACCUUUUGUUGAAAGAAAAAAUUUGAACAAAUGAACAAAAUUUCAACUGCAGUUAAUUGUAUCUGCUGUUUAGAGUUGUGUUGCAAGCUUGUCAAGAUAAUCUGAGUGCCAUUAGUUGUAUCUAGUGAAUGUUUAAAUUGUGCCAUUGGGUUGCCUACUAAUGUUUUAAAGGCUUAAAACAUGUUCUUAGUUUUUUCCGAAUUAAAAAAAAAAUGUG